rnacentral:rRNA from 1 species
UCGAAAUCGAACGGAAGAACGACCCGCGAACCGUCUUUGCGUAACGAACCGAGCUCGCGAGCAGCAAACGCUCGCGCGUCUCGUGUCGCGUCGGCGCGGUCCUCGAAAGGGCCACGCCGCGCCGACAAACUAACAAUGUCAGCACGGAUCGUGCCAAGGAGCUGUACAUGCGAGAGUCGCCGUCCCACGCCCCCGGUCCCCCUCGACUGGGGGCGGGUGACAUGCGCGAUCUCCGCUCUUAGUCUUAAUGACUCUCGGCAACGGAUAUCUCGGCUCUUGCAUCGAUGAAGAACGUAGCGAAAUGCGAUACUUGGUGUGAAUUGCAGAAUCCCGCGAACCAUCAAUUCUUUGAACGCAAGUUGCGCCCGAAGCCAUCCGGCCGAGGGCACGCCUGCCUGGGUGUCGUGAAUCCCCUUGCCCCCGGGCACCCGCACGAGCAUCGUCGCGGAUAUGCCCGGGCGCAGAAUAUGGUCUCCCGUCGGAUCGGCGUGCGCUGCACGUCGUGGGGCGGUUGGCCGAAAAUCGAGCAUUGCGACGUCGGGCUCCACGGCGUUCGGUGGAUCGAACGCGAUUGGCUGCGCCGUGGUCCCGUCAUGCCGCGGGCUCCGGACUACGACGAUUCCCGUG